rnacentral:tRNA from 1 species
GGAGGAUUCGCCUAGUCCGGUCUAUGGCGCCCGCCUGCUAAGCGGGUUUGCGGUUUAUCCCGCAUCGAGGGUUCAAAUCCCUCAUCCUCCGCAA